AAUAUGUUGGUAUGAAAAUCCAUCCAAAGGAAUAUAUUCCAGUUGAGAAAUCAUUUGGAUGUGAUGUAGAAGACAUUCAGUCAAUACCAUUGAAUAGUUUCCAGACUGAAGCACACGAUUUGGGAACCCGAGGACAGUCCAGUAGUCUUGCUGAGCAGAGGAAAGAGGAAUAAGAAAUAAGAGAGGCCAAGAUAAUUGAAAUCUGUGAAUUCAAGUAUCAGAGGAAAAGGAAGGCCAGGGGAGAAGUAAAAAACAGGGUA